rnacentral:lncRNA from 1 species
CAACGCAGAACGAGGGCAUCGCCUGCCAUCGGCUCGGUUUUCACCGUCAACUAUGUCUUCCCGGCUCGCACCCGGAACAAGAUGGCGGAUCUCGAGAUCUAACCAUCCAGCCUGAGGCCGACCACCUCCAACGAAAGAGAUGGCUACCACCGCUAGCGACAAUGACCAGAUCACAUCUGAUCGGAGGCACCACCGACCAAUCAACCAUGGCCACAUCCCCUACUUAUCCUCCCUUCCCACGAAGCCGUCGG